CAGCAGCCGCGGGAAUACGUAGGUGGCGAGCGUUGUCCGGAAUUAUUGGGCGUAAAGGGAGCGCAGGCGGACAUAUAAGUCCAUCUUAAAAGUGCGGGGCUCAACCCCGUGAGGGGAUGGAAACUGUAUGCCUUGAGUGCAGGAGCGGAAAGCGGAAUUCCCAGUGUAGCGGUGAAAUGCGUAGAUAUUGGGAGGAACACCAGUGGCGAAGGCGGCUUUCUGGACUGUAACUGACGCUGAGGCUCGAAAGCCAGGGGAGCGAACGGGAUUAGAUACCCCUGUAGUCCCUGUCUCUUAUACA
rnacentral:rRNA from 1 species